AUUGAACGCUGGCGGCAGGCCUAACACAUGCAAGUCGAACGAGUGGCGGACGGGUGAGUACUGUCUGGGAAACUGCCCGAUGGAGGGGGAUCACUACUGGAAACGGUAGCUAAUACCGCAUACCAUCUGAUGUGCCCAGAUGGGAUUAGCUCGUAGGUGGGGUAACGGCUCACCUAGGCGACGAUCCCUAGCUGGUCUGAGAGGAUGAACAGCCACACUGGAACGGAGACACGGUCAAGAAUCCUACGGGAGGCAGGAGUGGGGAAUAUUGCACAAUGGGCGCAAGCCUGAUGCAGCCAUGCCGCGUGUAUGAAGAAGGCCUGCGGGUGGUAAAGUAAUUUCAGCGGGGAGGCGUGACUCGCAGAAGAAGCACCGGCUAACUACGUGCCAGCAGCCGCGGUAAUUC
rnacentral:rRNA from 1 species